rnacentral:rRNA from 1 species
ACACGUAAGCCUCGAGCGUUGUUCGGAAUUAUUGGGCGUAAAGGGUAUGUAGGCGGAGCUGAAAGCCUGUCGUGAAAUGCAGAAGCUUAACUUCUGAGCUGCGAUGGGAACUUCAGUUCUGGAAUCACUGAAGGGCAGCCGGAAUUCCAGGUGUAGGGGUGAAAUCUGUAGAUAUCUGGAAGAACACCGAUGGCGAAGGCAGGCUGCUGGCAGAUGAUUGACGCUGAGGUACGAAAGUGCGGGUAGCGAACAGGAUUAGAUACCCUGGUAGUCCGCACAGUAAACGAUGCACACUAGGUGUAGGGGCAGAAGUCUCUGUGCCGGAGCGAACGUGAUAAGUGUGCCGCCUGGGGAGUAUGCCCGCAAGGGUGAAACUCAAAUGAAUUGACGGGG